CCUACGGGUGGCAGCAGUGGGGAAUAUUGGGCAAUGGGCGCAAGCCUGACCCAGCAACGCCGCGUGAAGGAAGAAGGCUCUCUGGUUGUAAACUUCUUUUAUCAGGGACGAAGCAAGUGACGGUCCCUGAUGACUAAGCCACGGCUAACUACGUGCCAGCAGCCGCGGUAAUACGUAGGUGGCAAGCGUUAUCCGGAUUUACUGGGUGUAAAGGGCGUGUAGGCGGGAAAGCAAGUCAGAUGUGAAAACCAUGGGCUCAACCUGUGGCCUGCAUUUGAAACUGUUUUUCUUGAGUACUGGAGAGGCAGACGGAAUGCCUGGUGUAGCGGUGAAAUGCGUAGAUAUUAGGCAGAACACCGGUGGCGAAGGCGGUCUGCUGGACAGCAACUGACGCUGAGGCGCGAAAGCGUGGGGAGCAAACAGGAUUAGAUACCCUGGUAGUC
rnacentral:rRNA from 1 species